rnacentral:rRNA from 1 species
GGGGAAUAUUGCGCAAUGGGGGCAACCCUGACGCAGCAACGCCGCGUGCGGUAUGAAGGCCUACGGGUUGUAAACCGCUUUCAGCAGGGACGAAGGGUUUCUGACGGUACCUGCAGAAGAAGCACCGGCUAACUACGUGCCAGCAGCCGCGGUGAUACGUAGGGUGCGAGCGUUGUCCGGAAUUAUUGGGCGUAAAGAGCUUGUAGGCGGUCCGUCACGUCGGAAGUGAAAACUCAGGGCUUAACCCUGGGACUGCAUUUAAAACUGAAGGGCUCGAGUGCAGGAGAGGUAAGUGGAAUUCCUAGUGUAGCGGUGAAAUGCGUAGAUAUUAGGAGGAACACCAGUGGCGAAGGCGACUUACUGGACUGUAACUGACGCUGAGGCGCGAAAGCGUGGGGAGCAAACA